rnacentral:rRNA from 1 species
GAUGAACGCUAGCGGCAGGCUUAAUACAUGCAAGUCGAGGGGCAGCAGGUCUGUAGCAAUACAGAUGCUGGCGACCGGCAAACGGGUGCGGAACACGUACAGAACCUUCCUUCGAGCGGGGAAUAGCCCAGAGAAAUUUGGAUUAAUACCCCAUAGUACAUUGAAGAGGCAUCUCUUUAAUAUUAAAGAUUUAUCACUUGAAGAUGGCUGUGCGGCUGAUUAGGUAGUUGGCGGGGUAACGGCCCACCAAGCCUACGAUCAGUAACUGGUGUGAGAGCACGACCAGUUACACGGGCACUGAGACACGGGCCCGACUCCUACGGGAGGCAGCAGUAAGGAAUAUUGGUCAAUGGACGCAAGUCUGAACCAGCCAUGCCGCGUGGAGGAUGAAGGUCCUCUGGAUUGUAAACUUCUUUUAUAUGGGACGAAAAAGGCUUUUCUAAGUCGUCUGACGGUACCAUAUGAAUAAGCACCGGCUAACUCCGUGCCAGCCGCCGCC